rnacentral:misc_RNA from 1 species
UUUUUUUUUCUACCUAUUUGGUUUCUGGGAAAACUUCCUUUCUUAAGAAAGUUGGUUCCUUCUCAAAAAUUUUAUGAUGCUUGUUUGAAAAUCCUGCCGUCACUUUUAUUCGGACGAAAACAGUGUUUAGGAGAGUCCAGCUUCUUCUUCUUCUUCUUCUUAUUCUUCUUCUUCUUCACAUCCAAGAUUAUUUUUUAUUUGUUUAUUUAGGAUAAAAUGCAAUAGAUCCAGCUGUGUUUUAAGGUCGAAAUUCAUGGGAAUUUGUUUUAGCAUAGAAAAUAAGCAAGUAUCUCAAGAACAACGGCAAUUAUCUUCUAAGAAAGGACAAGACUUUGAUCAGCCAGCAAGUAAAUUAAGUAGGCCAGACUCAUUUGACGUAAAAAGCGCCAGCAACACUCCAUUGGUCCCCAAGAAUGUCACUGAUCUACGCCAGAAUCCAGGAUAUAGUAAUGUUGACAUCUUUGCAUAUGAGGAAAUGAAAUUGGCCACAAAGCAUUUCCGACCUGAUUUCAUUCUUGGCGAGGGUGGAUUUGGAGUUGUUUAUAAGGGUGUCAUAGACAAAAGCAUAAGACUUGGUUAUGAGACCAUGGUUGUUGCCAUCAAAGAGCUUAAUCCUGAUGGGUUACAAGGUGACAGAGAAUGGCUGGCAGAAGUCAUAUUUCUCGGGCAACUUUCUCAUCCAAAUUUGGUGAAAUUGAUUGGAUACUGCUGUGAAGCUGAACACCGGGUAUUAAUAUAUGAGUAUAUGGCUCGGGGUAGCGUGGAAAACAAUCUAUUUUCAAGUAAGAAUCUCAGAACUACUCUUUACAAUAUUGAAAUCCUGAAAAGAACGUUCCUUGUUGAUCUUGGAUGCUUAAAUAAAAUAAAUAAUGCAGAUUUUAUCAAGGAAAACAUGCCAUAUCAAGUCAAAUACGGCAAUUUACUUCCCAGGAAAAUGAUUCAAAAGAGUUUCAUUUCUAUCUAUUUCUUUCAUUUAGCAGCCCUUGCCUACCUUUUAUUUUCUUGACUCUAGACGACUUGUCUUUUGCAAACUUAAUUUCCAUAAAGCUGAGAUUGUAAGAGCCAGGUUGCCAUGUAAGAACAUUGCUUUUGAAUGCAAUAGAGCUUUAUUUUUGUGUUUGAAAGUAAUUUAACAAAAGCCAUAAUGGUUUAUAGCAGCCUACAUCUGACAUCUGAUUUUACUUUCAAAGAAGGUGAUAGUGAAAAAGGUAGAGUACAGUAGAUGGGGGUUAUAGAAUUAAAAUGUUAUCUGGUCUGGUAGAGGUAGUUCUUUUAGAUGGAAGUGAUUCCUAUGGAAAGUGAUCACAAAAAGCCACAAGAAAGGUACUAAUAUGUUAUAUACACAAUAUUGAGAGUUAUACCCAGCAGACCCCUAAUAAUUACUUAAUAUUACCCAAAGAGUUAUGUUUUUCAUUAAUUUUUUUUUUGGGAGCAUAUCUAAAGUUACUAUGGCAUAAUGUACUUUUCUCAGUUUGAUGGCGAAGAAUAAUCCAUAUAACUGACCCCAACUUAUAUUUCUCAUCUUUUGAGAAAUGUAACAAUGUAUGUAUUCCGUGUUGCAGGAGUAUUGCUUCCUCUUCCAUGGUACAUUAGAAUGAAGAUUGCAUUUGGUGCAGCAAAAGGACUUGCCUUUCUCCAUGAAGCUGAAAAACCUGUUAUCUAUCGUGAUUUUAAGACGUCUAAUAUUCUACUUGACCUGGUUAGUUUAUUGUAACUUGAGAAAAGACCAUGAAAUAAUUUACUUGGGUUAAAUUUCUUCCUGCUUAAAUUGAAACUACCAAAAGAUGAGCUUUUAUUUCUGCCAAUAACAAGAGAGUUUCUAACUGGGGAAGCUGUGAUAAUUUGUUGUAGUACCCAUAGACAAUGGAUAAGAAGAACAAUACAUACGGCACACCUAUUCUUUUACAAUUUGUGAAAAGUUUCCUCGUGGCAAAACAGAGGUUUCUUACACUAGUUGAGUCCACAUACAGUACAUGAAUGUCUUUUGUUUUAACAGAACUGCUGAGCAUUAAUUGAAUCCACAUGAAUCUGGAAAUUUAACAUUUCCUUUUUCUAUUCUUUUUCCCUUCCAAUAAUAGGCAUCAAAGGUCAUCAAUUUGUGCAGAAUCUGCUUACAUUUGUGGUUUUAUGCUCAUACAGGAAUAUAAUGCAAAGCUCUCUGAUUUUGGUCUUGCAAAAGAUGGACCUAUGGGAGACAAAACUCAUGUUUCCACACGCAUAAUGGGAACUUAUGGGUAUGCAGCACCUGAAUAUAUAAUGACAGGUAACUUUCCACCAAAUUCUCCACUUUUCUUUGUUUGCAGGCUCUCAGAGAUAGGGUGGCCUUCACGUAAUUGAAAUUUGUUCUUAAUUAGCAUUUGAAAUGAGCUAAUGCAAUGCAUAGCAUUCAAAUGUAGUUGAUCACUUUCAUGGUGGUCCGAGGAAUCACUGCCAUGAAUUAGAACUGAUAUUAACCCUUCAACUUAUGUGCAGGCCAUCUUACUCCUAGAAGUGAUGUAUACAGCUUUGGUGUUGUUCUUCUUGAGCUUCUCACAGGCAGAAAAUCUUUAGACAAAUCACGACCAACCCGAGAGCAGAACCUUGCAGAUUGGGCUCUCCCUUUGCUAAAAGAGAAAAAGAAAUUGCUCAACAUUGUAGACCCAAGAUUAGAGGGAGAUUACCCUAUUAAAGGAGUCCACAAGGCAGCUAUGCUAGCCUAUCAUAGCUUGAACCGAAAUCCGAAAGCGAGGCCUCUAAUGCGAGAUAUAGUUGAUUCAUUGGAGCCUCUGCAGGUUCCUGAAGAAGCUUCAAAUGGAAAAUCUGUGUUUACUGUCAUUAACAACGUAGCGGAUGGCGAGUUAAAAACAAAAGAAGAUUCACUGUAACUGCAUGAGUCUGAUUCUGUUUUGUUAAGCUUCUUCUCUAGUGCAAUGGUUGAGUUUUUGCAGUAGAUAGCUUUCCUUGUGCGUAUCUAAUGCCUUAACCUUUUCUUCUUUUCUUUUCAUUUCCUUUUUAAUUUUUUUGCCCUGAUUAUGAUAUCCUGGAAGAUGGAUUACUGUAAAAAUGAAUAUCAUUAGUGAUAUGUGUUACCCACACUUUAUUUUGUAGCGUUUGGUUGGCUGUUAAAAAUGUAAUUUUUACUUUUUUUUUUUCUUUAAAA